CCUACGGGGGGCAGCAGUGAGGAAUAUUGGUCAAUGGGCGCGAGCCUGAACCAGCCAAGUAGGGUGAAGGAUGACUGCCCUACGGGUUGUAAACUUCUUUUAUAAAGGAAUAAAGUGAGGCACGUGUGCCUUUUUGUAUGUACUUUAUGAAUAAGGAUCGGCUAACUCCGUGCCAGCAGCCGCGGUAAUACGGAGGAUCCGAGCGUUAUCCGGAUUUAUUGGGUUUAAAGGGAGCGUAGAUGGGUUGUUAAGUCAGUUGUGAAAGUUUGCGGCUCAACCGUAAAAUUGCCAUUGAUACUGGCAGGCUUGAGUACAGUUGAGGUAGGCGGAAUUCGUGGUGUAGCGGUGAAAUGCUUAGAGAUCAUGAAGAACUCCGAUUGCGAAGGCAGCUUACCAAGCUGCUACUGACAUUGAGGCUCGAAAGUGUGGGUAUCAAACAGGAUUAGAGACACGGGUAGUC
rnacentral:rRNA from 1 species